AAUCAACGCUGGCGGCGUGCCUAACACAUGCAAGUCGAACGCGAAAGCCCCGCAAGGGGUAAGUAGAGUGGCAAACGGGUGAGUAACACGUGGGUGACCUGCCUUCGAGUGGGGGAUAACGUCCCGAAAGGGACGCUAAUACCGCAUGACAUCCUGCUUUUUAAGAGGUGGAGAUCAAAGCCGGGGAUCGCAAGACCUGGCGCUUGAAGAGGGGCCCGCGCCUGAUUAGCUAGUUGGUGGGGAAUGGCUCACCAAGGCAACGAUCAGUAUCCGGCCUGAGAGGGCGGACGGACACACUGGGACUGAGACACGGCCCAGACUCCUACGGGAGGCAGCAGUGGGGAAUUGUUCGCAAUGGGCGCGAGCCUGACGACGCAACGCCGCGUGGAGGAUGAAGACC
rnacentral:rRNA from 1 species